rnacentral:tRNA from 1 species
GUCGGGAUAGCUCAGUUGGUAGAGCAGAGACUG